rnacentral:rRNA from 1 species
UACGUAGGGGGCAAGCGUUGUCCGGAUUUAUUGGGCGUAAAGAGCUCGUAGGUGGUUCGGUAAGUCGGAUGUGAAAUCUCCAGGCUCAACCUGGAGGGGUCAUUCGAUACUGCCGUGACUAGAGGUCGGUAGGGGAGUGUGGAAUUCCUGGUGGAGCGGUGAAAUGCGCAGAUAUCAGGAGGAACACCGGUGGCGAAAGCGCUUGUCUGGCCCAAUACUGACGCUGAGGCGCGAAAGCUAGGGGAGCAAACGGG